GUACGCACUUUGGCUGCACAUAUACUAAAAUUGGAACAAUACAGAGAAGAUUAGCAUCACUCCCGUGGCAGGAUGACAUGUAAAUUAACUCAAUCUACUAUCUAAUG